rnacentral:lncRNA from 1 species
UUGAGUUCUCGCCUUAUUAAUAAGUAUUUUUCUCUAAAUACUUUAUCUCUAUUUUCUGAGUUAGUUCGAAGUUCGUAUAAUAUUUUUGGAGGGAGUGUAUAAUAUUUUUGGAGGGAGUGUGGGGGAUUAGAUUAUCAGAAUAAACAGUCAUUGGGUGACUAUUCAGAAUGGUGCGUUCUCUAUAUUAACCUGGAAAAUGUAAUGGGGGAUUAGAUUAUCAGAAUAAACAGUCAUUGGGUGACUAUUCAGAAUGG